rnacentral:tRNA from 1 species
GGGCGUUUAGCUCAGUUGGUUAGAGCGCCAUGCUUACACCGUGGAUGUCAUAGGUUCGAAUCCUAUAACGCCCA